rnacentral:tRNA from 1 species
GGGCUUAUAGCUCAGCAGGUUAGAGCGCACCCCUGAUAAGGGUGAGGUCGGUGGUUCGAAUCCACCUAAGCCCACCA